ACCAGACUCCUACGGGAGGCAGCAGUGGGGGAUAUUGCACAAUGGGGGGAACCCUGAUGCAGCGACGCCGCGUGGGUGAAGGAGUGCUUCGGCAUGUAAAGCCCUAUCGGCAGGGAAGAAGCAAGACGGUACCUGACUAAGAAGCCCCGGCUAACUACGUGCCAGCAGCCGCGGUAAUACGUAGGGGGCAAGCGUUAUCCGGAUUUACUGGGUGUAAAGGGAGCGUAGACGGCUGCGCAAGUCAGAAGUGAAAGCCCGGGGCUCAACCGCGGGACUGCUUUUGAAACUGUGUAGCUAGAGUGCAGGAGAGGUAAGUGGAAUUCCUAGUGUAGCGGUGAAAUGCGUAGAUAUUAGGAGGAACACCGGUGGCGAAGGCGGCUUACUGGACUGUAACUGACGUUGAGGCUCGAAAGCGUGGGGAGCAAACAGGAUUAGAUACCCCGGUAAA
rnacentral:rRNA from 1 species